rnacentral:rRNA from 1 species
GUGCCAGCAGCCGCGGUAAUACAGAGGGUGCGAGCGUUGUUCGGAAUUACUGGGCGUAAAGCGCGCGCAGGCGGCUCCUUAAGUCCGUCGGUGAAAGACCGGGGCUCAACCCCGAGUCAGCCAUGGAUACUGGGGAGCUGGAGACAGGUAGAGGCAAGCGGAAUUCCGGGUGUAGCGGUGGAAUGCGUAGAGAUCCGGAAGAACACCGGAGGCGAAGGCGGCUUGCUGGACCUGGUCUGACGCUGAGGCGCGAAAGCGUGGGGAGCGAACAGGAUUAGAUACCCUUGUAGUCC